UUCGCAAUGCCCGAAAGGGUGACGAUGCGACGCCGCGUGAGCGAAGAAGGCCCUAGGGUUGUAAAGCUCUGUCGAGGGUUAUGAAAUAUAGAUGGGUUAAUACCCCAUUUAUUUGACAAAAGCCCAAAAGGAAGCCACGGCUAACUCUGUGCCAGCAGCCGCGGUAAUACAGAGGUGGCGAGCGUUGUUCGGUAUUAUUGGGCGUAAAGAGCACGUAGGUGGUUUUGUAUGUCAGGUGUGAAAGCCUUCUGUUCAAAGGAAGAACGGCAUCUGAAACUGCAGAUCUUGAGUGUAGGAGGGGAGAGUGGAACUUCUGGUGGAGCGGUGAAAUGCGUAGAUAUCAGAAGGAACGUCGGCGGCGAAAGCGACUCUCUGGCCUAUUACUGACACUGAGUGUGCGAAAGUUAGGGGAGCAAACGGGAUUAGAUACCCCGGUAGUCCUAACCGUAAACGAUGGGCACUAAGUAGAGGGGUUUU
rnacentral:rRNA from 1 species